rnacentral:rRNA from 1 species
AGUGAACGCUGGCGGUAGGCCUAACACAUGCAAGUCGAGCGGCAGCACAGUAAGAGCUUGCUCUUACGGGUGGCGAGUGGCGGACGGGUGAGGAAUACAUCGGAAUCUACUUUUUCGUGGGGGAUAACGUAGGGAAACUUACGCUAAUACCGCAUACGACCUACGGGUGAAGGCAGGGGAUCUUCGGACCUUGCGCGAUUGAAUGAGCCGAUGUCGGAUUAGCUAGUUGGCGGGGUAAAGGCCCACCAAGGCGACGAUCCGUAGCUGGUCUGAGAGGAUGAUCAGCCACACUGGAACUGAGACACGGUCCAGACUCCUACGGGAGGCAGCAGUGGGGAAUAUUGGACAAUGGGCGCAAGCCUGAUCCAGCCAUACCGCGUGGGUGAAGAAGGCCUUCGGGUUGUAAAGCCCUUUUGUUGGGAAAGAAAAGCAGCAGGUUAACACCCCGCUGUUCUGACGGUACCCAAAGAAUAAGCACCGGCUAACUUCGUG